GAUUGUUACUUAUUGUUAAGGUGAGGGUAAGGACAGCAGUUCAGAGUACAGCUAAUCCUGAUGUUACUUAUGUGUACAGUCCAUACAGUAGGUGGGCCUCAGUCAGUGGCAUUAUAAUAGAAGUUCCUUCUGGAGCACCAACAAUAAUACCAGUUGAUGAUAAUAAUGACAGGACACUUGAGAUUGUUAUUCCAGCAGUUGUUGGGGGGAUUGUUGUUGCAAUAUGUAUUGUAUUAUCAAUUUUAAUAUUGUAUAAAAUAAAAUCUCAGAAUUCUAAGUUGGCCAGUGCAACUAAUGAAGGGUUUGGCAUGAAGAAAUGGUUUGGUGUGGAUGAUCCUGAUGAUGCUGCUGAUGGAGGAGAUGAUGGAUCAGGUGGAGGGUCUGGUGGUUCUUAGUAUUCUUACUAUAAUAGUAUAGACCUACCACUGCAUAGAGGCAUAUAAUAAGAAUCAGAGAUUAAUUAAUGUUUUUAAUACACUUUUCAUGUUAUUGAGUACAUAUUUAGUGUCCAGUCUACCACUGUUUUAGUCUUUGUUAAAAUUUUUCUUUUGUUUCCUAAGAAAUUCUGUUUUGGUAUUCCUGUA